GCACCUCCAGCACCUCGAACUGCACCAAGGGAACCGGGGAACCACCACCUUGGGGUGAAUCGGACGCCUCCGCCAGAAGGCGCCCGUAGGAGACCUUCCUGCUCCGAACCCGUCAGCUAACCCGGUAGGCGAGAAGGAAGGAAAGG
rnacentral:sRNA from 1 species